GUGCACAGCGAACACCCAGGGAUGCUUCUAUUGCUCUCCCUGGUCUCAUGUCUGUGCUACAUCGACUCUGGUCUUUACCUCUGCAUUAGGAGAGUUUAAUCUCUCCUACAUGUAUUCAGUUGAUCAGGACAACA